AUUGAACGCUGGCGGCAGGCCUAACACAUGCAAGUCGAGCGAGCGGCGGACGGGGGAGUAAUGUCUGGGAAACUGCCCGUUGGUGGGGGAUAACUACUGGAAACGGUAGCUAAUACCGCAUACCAUCAGAGGUGCCCAGAUGGGCGUAGCUGGUUGGUGGGGUAACGGUUCACCAAGGCGACGAUGCCUAGCUGGUCUGAGAGGAUGACCAGCCACACUGGAACUGAGACACGGUCCAGACUCCGACGGGAGGCAGCAGUAGGGAAUAUUGCGCAAUGGGCGAAAGCCUGAUGCAGCCAUGCCGCGUGAGUGAAGAAGGCCUUCGGGUUGUAAAGUACUUUCAGCGGGGAGGCGUUACCCGCAGAAGAAGCACCGGCUAACUCCGUGCCAGCAGCCGCGGUAAUAC
rnacentral:rRNA from 1 species